CAGGACCACUUAAACUGUUAAAGCUUUCCUCUUACAUCUUCAGUGAGUUUAAGUAUCAGUGCAUUCAGUUCCUGAUUAUCUAGUGAUCCUAUCAUGUUUUUUAACUUAAAGCAUGUAAUGGAUGAAUUCCUAGAGGGUGUUCCAGUGGUCAAAUGCCCCCAUGGGCUGAUCCAUGACCAGGCUUCAUGGUGGAUAAGGGCCUGAUCAACCAGACUCUUACUGCUGGCCACAUGAAAUCCAGCAUAUGAAUGAAGACUUACGACAUUAAAAUUUAAUUAGGAAAGGCAUUUGCAUAUCUUACUAUCUGAGGGGAUACUCAAAGCACAAAUGAUUGGGCUUUGGCUGAUAGUAGUCAAAUUACCAAUGCCCAAAAUGCAAACUUAAUUUAGUGAAAUUUUAAUAUAAAAAUUACGAAUCUUGCUUUUUCUUUCAGUCUUGCUUUGUAAAAGUGAGUAGACACUAAAAUGGGAAGUAAGAAUUAUAAUUUUUAUCUCUGUUGCCAUUGGUAUAACUUUUGAAUCCAUGAAGAACAAAAAGGCACAAUUCGGUGACUGGAACAAUAUACAAAUAACCUCCACACAGGAGAAAGAAGCUUCUCCUUUGUGUGGGUUAAUUAUGUAUUUUGUUUUGAAUGUAUCACUAAAGGUAAGUUACCUUCUCAUUAAUUAAUAUUUAUAUAUCUAUGUUUUGUGCAUAAAUAUAUGGAUAUUCUGAAAAUCAUUACUGGUACUAGAUUUAAAGAAUAAAACUACUAAAAUAUACAGUGGGAUAAUAAGGAAGGAGAUAACCAGGAACUGAGUGUUCUUCCAAUAAUCUGAACUUGAUUACAUAGCACUAACUGCUUCACAUUUUCCUAAGAGUAUCUUGGCUUUAACUUAUUUCUAAAAAAAAAUUUUAAAGAACACUGCAUGGAACACCAUUAAUGGUAUUUCAUUCUUUGGUUUAAUUAUUUUUAUUCUUUAUUCAUUUUAACAUUAAAAUACAUGCUGUACCAUGACAAUAGAAAUUAUCUUUUCAGAACAUUUACUACACUUACUGUAUCAAAAAAUCCAUAGCAUCAUACACAUAUAAAUCUGAAAUUGUGCUGUACAGCAGGCUACUUUAUAUAUUAGUAAUGACCAACUUUAUGUGCAUUUUAUGCAUAAUUUUGAGGGUACAGGUUAUUUUCAGCAUACCUUGCUUUUGUUACUCAAUUUUUGUUUCCAAAUAUUAUUAACUGGUAAAUUUUAGCUCAUAAACACAUAAAUUAUUUAAAAUAAUUUAUGUGGUGAAAUAUGGUAUUGUUAAACAACAAAAAAAGGCACAAUACCGUGACUGGAAUGAUACACAAAUAACCCGCACAUAGAAGAGAGGAGCUUACGACGACGUUUCGGUCCAACUUGGACCAUUUACAAAGUCACACUAAUGAUCAGUAGAGCAGGAUGGGUAUAUAUAUGUAUAGGCAGGAAGAGGUGGUGGUGGUGGUGGUGGUGGUGGUGGUGUAGUAGUAGUAGUAGUAGUAGUAGUAGUAGUAGUAGUAGUAGUAGUAGUAGUGGUAGUAGCAGUAGUGGUGGUGGUAGUAGUAGUAGUGGUAGUAGUAGUAGUGGUGGUGGUGGUAGUAGUAGUAGUAGUGGUAGUAGUAGUAAUGCUAGUAGUGGUAGUAGAAGUAGUGGUAGUAGUAGUGGUGGUAGUAGUAGUGGGUAGUAGUAGUGGUAGUAGUAGUGGUAGUAGUAGCAGUGGUAGUAGUGGUAGUAGUAGUGGUGGUAGUAGUGGUAGUAUUGGUGGUAGUAGUAGAAGUGGUAGUAGUGGUAGUAGUAGUGGUAGUAGUAGUGGUAGUAGUAGUGGUGGUAGUAGUGGUGGUAGUAGUAGUAGUAGUAUUGGUAGUAGUAGUGGUGGUGGUAGUAGUGGUAGUAGUGGUGGUAGUAGUGGUGGUAGUAGUGGUAGUAGUAGUGGUAGUAAUGGUGGUAGUAAUAGUAGUAGUAGCAGUGGUAGUGGUAGUAGUAGUAGUGGGGAAUAAGGAGGACGAGCCAGUCAAAUACAAGGAAAGGGGAGCACUGCAAGGAAGCUAGGUGCCCACAGAGGGAGAGCAAGUACACAGAGGUAGGGAAGAAGGGGAAGUGAUGAAAUGAAUAAUGAAGGAGCAGAAACACAAAACACAAGAAAGACAACCCAGAGGAGAAAAAGGGAAAGAGGAAAGGGGAAGAGGGAGAAGAAAAAAGGAGGAGGAAUCAGGUUAAGUCACGGGUGUUCUGAAGUUUGGAGCAUUUUACAAUGUAGUGGGAGAGGAAGGCAUCUACAGAGACAAAGCCGGUCCAAAUUGGACCGAAACGUCGUUGUAAGCUCCUCUCUUCUAUGUGCGGGUUAUUUGUGUAUGGUAUUGUUAAUUAAAUUCACUAUGUAGUAGAUAUUUACUUUUUUAUUUGUCUAAAUACUGAACCAUUAUAAUUCAUGCCUGUUUCUGUGCACAAAAUAUUUUAAGGUUAUUGUUUUAGCUUCAACUUUUAUAGAAAAUCAAGUGUAAUGGAACAAAAGCAUCUGUACCCAGUUCAUAUCUUUAAAAGUACAGAACUUUAAGUUAUCUGUCUUGUUCAUUAUGCUUAUACAGUACAUGCACUGUAUUUAGUAUACAGUAUAUCAGCUGUAGUUAUAAAAUCAAACAUAUAAAUUCUUACAUGAAUUUUACUUUAUUUCUAUUAAUAUUAUUUCUGUUUUCUAACUUCCAUUAUUGACUGGAAAAAAUUAUUAUUUAUUGACAUUUAUUCACCACAGCUUGAAAUUUAUACUGCACAGGACAUUUAUAUAUACAUGUAUAUAUAUAUAUAUAUACAAUAUUAAAUAUUUAAUUAUUUCCAUUUAUUUGAAGAUUUUUUUUUUUCAGUUUUAAAGGGUAUUUUUUUCAGGAUUUAUUUUCAUGUCACAUGUACAGUACACUAAUAUUCUUAGGUUGUUGACACAUUACUGUGGUACAAUAUUAUACACUACAAAACACAGUUCAUAUAUAAAGGCACACUUAAUAUAUUCUUGAAGCUCAGACUGCAGAAAAUAUUAAAAACCUGUAAGUGUUACAGCAGAAAAAGGUGGACUACUGUGAGCAUAAACUUUUUUCAUUUAACUACAGAUAAGUAAUUUAUAAACACAAACACAUGUAUAUAUACAUGCAAAUGCACACAUAUAUACAAAGCUACAGAAUAUGCAAAAAAAAAAAAAUCAGAUUGCAGGUUAGCAGUAGCUUCUAAGCAAAAUCAUCCAAACAAAGAUAUAGCUUGUACUUUA